rnacentral:lncRNA from 1 species
GGCGUACCGGGUUGCCCAGCGGGUCCUGGGCGGGGUGGGGGGGAAUGGGGGGGGUGCGGGGAGAGCUAGCUUCUCUUCUGGCGCCGUCCUCCUUCCUUCUUCCGAAUCACCCGCCACGGCUUCUUUCCCAGCCUGCUUUCCGGACCCUGCCUGCAAGACUGUGUCUGGCGCCUGUGCCUCCAAGGGGCGUUCUCAGGUAGCUCUGGGGCCUGUGGUCAUCUUGUGACAUUGGGCAGUACCACCGGGAGAAAGUUGACACAUGCUGGCGAACCACAGAUCUAUUUGAUCGGCUGGCAAAUUGUGAAAACAGGAAGUGGAAAGACAGGAUCAACUGAAAGAACCCUACAAAUGGUGCUGUCUGCUUUCAUGCCAAGAUGGGAAUGCCAUCUGUUAUAAUAAACAAAUAAACAAAUGAGUGGAUAAUAUCAAUAGAACCCCAGUAGGAAGAGUGCACAUCCUGAUUGCACUACUUAUCCUACUUUCAGUGUCUUGUAACCAAUGAAAUAGUUUUUAGAUCUGAAUCCACAUAUUGUCGUUAGACAUGAAAAAAUAUCCAAAACUAAGAGAGGGAUGUGAUAACUAGCUAGGAAAUAUUUGAGAUAAUAUUUUUCUGUCUGACAAUCAUCUUUGGCAUUGGCUUAAUAAACCACUUCCUGUUCUAAUUUAGUGCCUUCAUUUAUUCAGUGAGUGUUACCGAGUGCUUGCUCUAGGACAGGCACUGUUGUACAAAUGAGGGUUAUGAAAGUCAAAGCAAAUUCUCCUCUUACUCACAAGCCUUUACGUGUUCACUAAUGUUGUCCUUGCUGCUCCUCAAGGGUUCCAUGCCUCAGUCCUCCUGUGGUGUUUAUUCCUUUCAUGGUACAUUUCAAAAGAGGGCCCUCAGUAGGGUAAAGAAUUUAAAAACUCUCUUCCCAACAGGUAUGCAGAACAUAGCCGAAUGGUAGGAUGAAAUGAAGGAAGCAGGAUGCAGGUUUUAGGCAAAUACCAGGAAAUACUACCUCACUUGUAGGCAAUGUAUUUAUGCAAUUUAUUGCUUCAAAUUUUUUGGAACUAUAAAUGGAUUUUUUGAAAACUUGGAUCAAAUUCUGUUGGAAGCUGACAAGGGAAGGGCAGACAAUGCAGUGUGCUGUGAAUGGAAAAUCUUUUUGAUCCAUCUUUUGAGAAUCUCUGUAAGAGAUCUGCUCCUAGUGAUGGCAGAUAUCAUCUACUCAGAUGGUUGAGUUUUUAAAAUAAGAUCACUAUUCCUCAAACUCUGACUCUGCUGGAAAACUUUGAAAAGAUUACAGUAGGACAUCUUGCUGGAAAGAGGAUAAGGAAGUAGUGAGGAUUUAGCAUAACUACUGGUGAGAUUGUCACAACCUAUAUGUUAACCUAUUGAACGUU